rnacentral:tRNA from 1 species
GGCCCCAGGGUGUAAUGGGCAGCACUCAGGACUUUGAAUCCUGCAGUCUGAGUUCAGAGCUCCAUGGGACCU